rnacentral:rRNA from 1 species
AGUGAACGCUGGCGGUAGGCCUAACACAUGCAAGUCGAACGGCAGCACAGUAAGAGCUUGCUCUUACGGGUGGCGAGUGGCGGACGGGUGAGGAAUACAUCGGAAUCUACUUUUUCGUGGGGGAGAACGUAGGGAAACUUACGCUAAUACCGCAUACGAUCUACGGGUGAAAGCAGGGGAUCUUCGGACCUUGCGCGAUUGAAUGAGCCGAUGUCGGAUUAGCUAGUUGGCGGGGUAAAGGCCCACCAAGGCGACGAUCCGUAGCUGGUCUGAGAGGAUGAUCAGCCACACUGGAACUGAGACACGGUCCAGACUCCUACGGGAGGCAGCAGUGGGGAAUAUUGGACAAUGGGCGCAAGCCUGAUCCAGCCAUACCGCGUGGGUGAAGAAGGCCUUCGGGUUGUAAAGCCCUUUUGUUGGGAAAGAAAAGCAGCAGGUUAAUACCCCGCUGUUCUGACGGUACCCAAAGAAUAAGCACCGGCUAACUUCGUG